rnacentral:rRNA from 1 species
GACGAACGCUGGCGGCAUGUCUAACCUAUGCAAGUCGAACGGUGACAGAAGAAGGACUUUGGUCCGGGCGCUGUCGUAGUGGCGGACGGGUGAGUAACGCGUGAGGAACCAACCUGAUACAGGGGGAUAACACUGGGAAACCAGUGCUAAUACCGCAUGAGACCACAGUAUCGCAUGGUACAGGGGUCAAAGGAGCAAUCCGGUAUCAGACGGACUCGCGUCCCAUUAGGUAGUAGGCGGGGUAACGGCCCACCUAGCCAGCGAUGGGUAGCCGAGCUGAGAGGCUGAUCGGCCACACUGGGACUGAGAUACGGCCCAGACUCCUACGGGAGGCAGCAAGGAAGAAUAUUGGUCAAUGGGGGGAACCCUGAACCAGCAAUGCCGCGUGAAGGAAGAAGGCCUUCGGGUUGUAAACGUUACUGUGACGGGGACGGAAGAAAGUGACGGUACCCGGACGAGGAAGCCCGGCGAAACUACGUG